UGCAAAACAUGAUCAGUAAUGCCCUGGUCCAGAUCUGGGAGGAAAUACCCCAGGACACUGUCCGUCGCCUCAUUAGGAGCAUGCCCCGACGUUGUCAGGCAUGCAUACAAGCACGUGGGGGCCAUACAAACUACUGAGUACCAUUUCAAGUUGCUGCAAUGAAAAUUCAGCAAAAUGGACUAGCCUGCUGCAUCAUCUUUUCACUUUGAUUUUCGCUGUGUCUUUGAAUUCAGUCCUCUCAGUUUAAGAGCACAACCCAGAGCAGGAAUGUUCUCAGGUUGGAGGACAGCCAGAACAAGAAGCUGCUCCAUGACUGAAUGAAUACCACAUCCUCACAGUCAACCAACAAGAACUGUCUCCAUCCUGGAUCAUUUACAAAUCAUGAUAGAAAUGCUUUUAAGAAUACUGAUCACAUAUGUAAACACUUAUGUGAUGCUUAUUUUCCCUGCUAAAAAAUUCAGCAUUGCUGAUCACCAGCAUAAGGUAUGUUUUGCGUGCUGGGACCAGCAUGGGAUGCUGUUUGGUGGUUUGCUGGUCACCAGGGGAAACAGGAGUGCUGAUGGACCAGCUCAGUUUUGCAGUCCAGCCCUGCUCUAACCAGCCAGCCUGGACCAAUAUGGAAUGCUGAAACCCUAUUGGCUUCAGCUGGUGCUGACUGAGCAGAAAUACCACAUGUGCUGUACACAGAACUCAACAAUUUGAGAGGUAGUGGUCACUCGAUGUGUGUGGAAACACAUGGAUCUGAUAACACAAUUUUUCGAAAAUGUUAUUCGCAACCCUUGCUGGACCACCAGAAUAAAGAAUAACAAACUG